UUCUAUCAGUUUGGUCCUCAAACUUCCUAACCAAAGCUUUUAGCUUUUAAAAUAGAGGCAUUUCACAUCUAUUAAUUGUUUUAUUUAUAGUUGAAAUUAUCUAAUUCGGUACAUAACCCUUUUUUAUAUUUUUAAUAAAUUAGUGCUAGAAAUUAACUAAACACCAUUAAAAAAUAAUUGAAAAUAAAAUUUUAAAUAUAUAAUAUAUAAUAUAUGUGGAAUGUGUCUGUUUUAAAAGCUGAAAGCUUUGAUUAGGAAGUUUGAGGAUCAAACUGAUAGA
rnacentral:pre_miRNA from 1 species